AACGUAGGUGGCAAGCGUUAUCCGGAUUUACUGGGCGUAAAGCGUGUGCAGGCGGGAGAAAAAGUGGUGUAUGAAAUGGCUCGGCUCAACCGGGCGAGGUUAUGCCAGACUGUUCUUCUAGAGUGCGAGAGAGGGGCAUGGAAUUCCGGGUGUAGUGGUGAAAUGCGUAGAGAUCCGGAGGAACCCCAGAGGCGAAGGCGGUGCCCUGGCUCGCAACUGACGCUCAGACACGACAGCAUGGGGAGCGAACGGG
rnacentral:rRNA from 1 species